UUUUAACGGCUAUCAAAUGGAAGUUAUUGGUCCCAUUCUCUCGAAGCUUCUCCCCUUCCCACUCUCUCGCUCUCUCUCAAUCCUCUGUAUAUUCUCCCACUCUGUAUAUCCUUUGUGUGCUCCUUUCGUUUUGUCCAAAUGGGGAUUUCGAUGAUUCGUCCCUCUGAUAAUUUCGUUUACAUUUCAAUUUUAUCUUUCUGAGUUUGAUUUUCUCUUUGGUUUGGAUUGGCUUCCGUGAGUCAGUCUGAUGAUUCUUUGGUUGAAUUGCUUCCAAGUUCAAAGUCUAGCAGACAUGGAUAUAACAUUUCAAGCACUCAAGAGUUCAGAGCUCUCUGCUCUCCUUCGACAACCACACCAACUCGAGCUUCCAUUAAAGUCUCGAGCUUCAAAGUCUGGCAAGAAAUCUCAGAGACUCCAAGAAUCGAAAAAAUGGGAAGAUCAUGGGGUCAAGCAAUGUUUAUCGAAAGAUAAAGAGAGUGAAACCAAAAGGGAAACUCUACGCAGAACGAAUAUAGGGUUUUAUCUUGGUUCUCUUGAGGUACACCACGCAAAAACCCUAGAGAAAGAAAUGGAAAGUCGAGCCAAGUAGCACUCGAUUUGAACUUAGAGCGAUCAUUCCGUUUGUUUUUCUACUUGAUGGAAUUUUUUUUUCUUGUCUCGAUUUUAUCAGGAACCAAACUGAAUGUCAAGGAUGCGACUAUCAGUUGAAGUUCUUGAUUGUGUUCAUUUUCGUUGUUGAUUCUGAUUUCUGAUCUCCCUUUGCUAGUUCAUUCACCAUUAAUUGCACCGCUUGACCCUUUGUGGGGGGACACUUGCUUAAUGCAAUAACAAUCGAACACUUCAUCUUGAGACUAACUUUUCAUUUGAAAUUUACAUGCACAAAAGUUGUAAAAAUGAUGAGAUGAAAGUAUGCAGCAUAUUUGGAUUUGAAUGGUCUGAACCCUCGGUUACAUUUGCACUCUUUUAUGAAAGCUGUUAUUCUCCUAUUGUAAGUUUGUAUUCAAUCUUGGUGAUAUUCUUCAUUUGUGGAGGAAGUCCCAAGUUUUUUUUUUUUUUUUUAAAUAUUUUGGACCAUGAGAGUAUAAUUUAUAGGUUCACAGACUGUUCAUAAGGUUGAUUUUCAAUUGAAGAAGCACCCUACAAGUAUAAUCAGUUUGUCUACAGAUUCUAUUGAUGAAAUUAUACAGACAACGAUGCUUUAUUUAUAUACUCAGUGAGAUUCGUUGGAUAUCAGAU